GGCUGGUCUGAGUGCAGUGGUGUUUAGAACUAAUUGAUCACAACCAGUUUUAGAUUCCUUUGCUCCUUCUCCACUCCCACUGCUUCACUUGACUAGCUUAAA
rnacentral:Y_RNA from 1 species